GUGCCAGCCGCCGCGGUAAUACAGAGGGUGCAAGCGUUAAUCGGAAUUACUGGGCGUAAAGCGUGCGUAGUCGGUCAUUCAAGUCGGGUGUGAAAGCCCCGGGCUCAACCUGGGAAUUGCAUUCGAUACUGUUUGGCUAGAGUUCGGCAGAGGGAAGCGGAAUUUCCGGUGUAGCGGUGAAAUGCGUAGAUAUCGGAAGGAACAUCAGUGGCGAAAGCGGCUUCCUGGACCAGAACUGACGAUCAGGCACGAAAGCGUGGGGAGCAAACAGGAUUAGAAACCCUCGUAGUCC
rnacentral:rRNA from 1 species